rfam:Schistosoma haematobium scaffold1439_3, whole genome shotgun sequence.
AUCCAGCUGACGAGUUCCAAAUAGAACGAGAUACGCGUUCUGGAU